GCUGGGUGUGGUGGUGUGUGCCUGUAAUCCCAGCUACUUGGGAGGCUGAGGCAGGAGAAUCGCUUGAACCCAGGAGGCGGAGGUUGCAGUGAGCCAAGAUCGCACCACUGCACUCCAGCCUGGGUGACAGAGUGAGUCUCUGUCUCAA
rnacentral:SRP_RNA from 1 species